GCAGAUAACCGUCCUACCGCGCCGUGAGAUACCGGUGAGGAAAGUCCGGGCAGCGCAGGGCACCACACUUCCUAACUGGAAGAUGCUCGCGAGGGCAUAGAAGUGCAACAGAAAACAACCGCCAUGCCCUGUGCAUGGUAAGGGUGAAAAGGUGAGGUAAGAGCUCACCGGGUACCAUAGCGAUAUGGUAUGCCGUGCACCUUGUGGGCUGCAAGACCAUGUAUACUUCGAUUUCGUUUGAAGCAGGGCUGCCCGUCCUGUUCCUGCUAGCCAGGAGUCGAAGGGGGUAGGUCGCAUGAGCCUGCAGGCGACUGCAGGUCGAGAUAAAUGGUAGGAGCAUUUUUGGGAAUUUCCCAGUAAAUGUACAGAACCCGGCUUAUAGGUUAUCUGCUUGC
rnacentral:RNase_P_RNA from 1 species